UCCCCAGGCUCUAAGGGAAGGGGACAGUAAGAUUCUAAAAGAGCCUGGGGCUUGAACCUGUUGUAAACUCUGUUAGGAACAGAGCAGAGGUGACCCCUGUAGGUGCUAGAGAAAGGAGACACCAAUGAGGGGUAUCAGGUAAACUCCGGUAGCAGGGAACGUUCCUGCUGAGGACCCAGAAUAGCCAGCCAUCCUGCAUCCCUUUGGGUGUGGAGACCCAGGCCCCUGCUCUUUCCUGGGCAAGGGUGGCUGUAGGUGCUGAACCUAACUUUCCCUGUUAUUCUGCUUUUGAAUGGGACAGGCAUUUUAAGGGCCCAGAAGCACACAGCUAUCUGCCUUGGGUGACCUGAGAGGGGACCAAGGGAUCACAAAUCAGGGCACCAAGAAGUUGCUCUCCUGUCCUGGCUGGCUGGCUGGAGUAGGAGGUGUGACGUAAAGUUCCCAGAAAUAAGCUGAGCUAUGUCAAACAUUUUAGGCCGGUGGACUUGUCAAAACUUAUUCAUUGUGGAGAGGCUGGACUAGUGUGGGUCCAGAGCCAGAAUCAUACACUUUUGUUUUUGUUUGUUUGUUUAUUUGAGACAGGGUUUCUCUGUGUAGCCCUGGCUGUCCUGGAACUCACUCUGUAGACCAGGCUGGCCUCGAAUUUAGAAACUUGCCUGCCUCUGCCUCCCAAGUGCUGGGACUAAAGGCGUGCGCCAUCACGCCCAGCUCCUACGCUAUUCUUAAGGGCUACCAUUACUGUCCCCCACCCCUCUGUGUUACCAAACUUCCUGCAACUAUGAUGUGAAACCCUUUAUGAUACACUAUUAGACGAUUAGCUUCUACAAACCCACAAGCUCAGGAUAUCCCAGACAGCUUCAUCGAGCGAUCCCCGGCUGUGCUGUUGUAACUCACUUACCUGGUACUUCCAUGGAUAUACAUUUUUAAAGUCAUUGACUAGCUUUAAAAAAAAUGUUUAUUUUAUGUGGGUGCCUGUUGUGGUCCAUGCAUGACUGAUGUCUGUGGAGGCCAGAAGAGGGCAUCAGAUCUCUAGGGACUGGAGUUACAGAGAGUUAUGAGCCUCUUGUGGGCACCAAGAAUUGAACCUGGGUCCUCUGGAAGAGCAGCCAGUGCUCUCAACUGCUAAGCCAUCUCUCUAGUCGUUGAUGAACGUAUUUUAAAUGUGUUGAUUCAUGUACUUUCUUUGUUCUGUUACAGUUAAUUCUUCAUAAAACUGUUACCGUGUCGGAACACGGAAUUUGGGGUGACCUAUGUGUUUCAGAAUAGAUUCUUAUCCUCUUGGGGGCGAGCUGUGUGUUUAUUAGGUUGCCAGCCGCUUGCGCUAGAGGCUGCAGUUCUCCUAUUCCCUCUGCUCCCCCCUCAGCUGAUGGAUGGUGAUGCAGACUGAGGAUGUGAUUCAUGAAGCAUUCGAAUGUGCAGAUGGCUUCCCCUAAGUGUUUGGAAGGUGAAAGGAUUAUGAGUCUCAAGAUAGCUGCCAGCGCAAACUGGGACUUCACCUUUGUUCACAUCUGAGAGAGAGAGAGAGAGAGAGAGAGAGAGAGAGAGAGAGAGAGCACACCAGCAGUGGCGACAUAAGAUGCUCUCUCUAGUCAGUCUGAUCAGGUUGGCUUGAGUCACACUGGAUGAUUGGCAUUCUCCGGGGACAUGCUGUGUAAUGAGCUGUGGUGAGUUUAGAGGGGACAAUCAGCCACCCUUUAAGGGGUACAGCCGCCUCUGAGUCACCUGUAUGUGGGUUAAGCAGGUGGGCGGAUGCUGGCUGAGUGUGAGGUUUGUGGGUGAGAGGAUGAGAUUGACAAGAGAAAGAUGCGGCAGGGGACUGGGUGUCGGUGCCCUGUCCCUCUGAUUUUAGCUGCAAUGGUGCCAGAAUGUUCCGCAGCAGCUGACUCACUGCCAGCUCUGAACCCAGGUGCCCUGAGCUCCCACGUCGAUCUCCGCCCACACACAGAGCACAGCAGCGGUGUCGUGUUUACCGUGGGAACAGAACAUGCCAAUCUUCCACCAGCACAGGUUGGCGAUGCUGCAGAUUGUUUGGAUCUUUCUGGACUGUUCUCAGAGAUCAGUGGGAACUGGCCUGUUGCUCUAGUAGGGGUUUCGCAGAUACACCUCUGACACAUUCUUCCUGCUGCUCACUCUGCCACCUGGGCCCCCACAUAGACAGCUUGCAAGGAACCUGGGGCCUCAGCCUUUGCCAGUGUGAAACUGGAACUUCAGCUAAGAGGACUGUGACAAUACCUACCAUAACCUAUCAUUUAUACCCCACCUGGCUUAAAGUUACACAAUAUGAGAUAUGCCGUCUGGAAGCAGCCA